GACGAACGCUGGCGGCGUGCUUAACACAUGCAAGUCGAACGGAAAGGCCCUGCUUUUGUGGGGUGCUCGAGUGGCGAACGGGUGAGUAACACGUGAGUAACCUGCCCUUGACUUUGGGAUAACUUCAGGAAACUGGGGCUAAUACCGGAUAGGAGCUCCUGCUGCAUGGUGGGGGUUGGAAAGUUUCGGCGGUUGGGGAUGGACUCGCGGCUUAUCAGCUUGUUGGUGGGGUAGUGGCUUACCAAGGCUUUGACGGGUAGCCGGCCUGAGAGGGUGACCGGCCACAUUGGGACUGAGAUACGGCCCAGACUCCUACGGGAGGCAGCAGUGGGGAAUAUUGCACAAUGGGCGGAAGCCUGAUGCGGCAACGCCGCGUGCGGGAUGACGGCCUUCGGGUUGUAAACCGCUUUCGCCUGUGACGAAGCGUGAGUGACGGUAAUGGGUAAUGAAGCACCGGCUAACUACGUG
rnacentral:rRNA from 1 species